CUCCUCACCCUGGCAGGAGAGAUACCAUGACCACGAAGGUGGUUUUCCCAGGGUGAGGCUCACCCAUUGCACUGCGGGUGUGCUGACUCCUGCGAUUUCCCCAAAUGCGGGAAACUCGACUGCAUAAUUUGUCAUAAGAGGCUUG
rnacentral:snRNA from 1 species